AUACGGAGGGUGCAAGCGUUAUUCGGAAUUACUGGGCGUAAAGCGCGCGUAGGCUGCUUUGUAAGUCAGGGGUGAAAUCCCACGGCUCAACCGUGGAACUGCCUUUGAAACUGCGAAGCUUGAAUCCUGGAGAGGGUGGCGGAAUUCCUGGUGUAGGAGUGAAAUCCGUAGAUAUCAGGAGGAACACCGGUGGCGAAGGCGGCCACCUGGACAGGUAUUGACGCUGAGGUGCGAAAGUGUGGGGAGC
rnacentral:rRNA from 1 species